CUCAGUCCUUGUAGCAAUACCGGGCUGGGGGAAGCGGCGCAAGGGGCAGUAAUGCGUGGGUAACCUACCCCGGGGAUGGGCAUAGCCGUUCUAACGAGCGGGUAAUUCCCAGCGAUCUGGUCGAGGGGCAUCUCUUGGCCAGGAAAUGAGUUUCGCCUCGGGAGGGGCUCACGUGAUAUUAGCUAGUUGGUGAGGUGACGGCUCACCAAGGCGAAGAUGUCUAGCGGGUGUGAGAGCACGACCCGCGCCACUGGCACUGAGACACUGGCCAGACACCUACGGGUGGCUGCAGUCGAGGAUCUUUGGCAAUGAGCGCAAGCUUGACCAAGCGACGCCGCGUGUGCGAUGAAGGCCUUCGGGUUGUAAAGCACUGUCGAGGGGGAUCAAGGGGCAACCUUGAGUGAUCCCUGGAGGAAGCACGGGCUAAGUUCGUGCCAGCAGCCGCGGUAAGACGAACCGUGCGAACGUUGUUCGGAAUCACUGGGCUUAAAGGGCGCGUAGGCGGGUCAGCAAGUCCGGGGUGAAAUCUUUCGGCUUAACCGGAAAAGUGCCUUGGAUACUGCUGGUCUUGAGGGAGGUAGGGGCCUGUGGAACUUCUGGUGGAGCGGUGAAAUGCGUUGAUAUCAGAAGGAACGCCGGUGGCGAAAGCGACGGGC
rnacentral:rRNA from 1 species